rnacentral:rRNA from 1 species
AGUUUGAUUAUGGCUCAGAUUGAACGCUGGCGGCGUGCUUAACACAUGCAAGUCGCGCGUGAAAGGACUUCGGUCCGAGUAAAGCGGCGCACGGGUGAGUAACGCGUGGAUGAUCUACCCAUGAGUUAGGAAUAACGGCUGGAAACGGUCGCUAAUACCAAAUACGCUCCGAUUUCAACUUCGGGGGAAAGGUGGCCUCUGCUUGCAAGCUACUGCUCAUGGAUGAGUCCGCGUCCCAUUAGCUAGUUGGUGGGGUAACGGCCCACCAAGGCGACGAUGGGUAGCCGGUCUGAGAGGAUGACCGGCCACACUGGGACUGGAACACGGCCCAGACUCCUACGGGAGGCAGCAGUGGGGAAUAUUGCGCAAUGGGCGAAAGCCUGACGCAGCGACGCCGCGUGAGGGAAUGAAGGUCCUCGGAUCGUAAACCUCUGUCAGGAGGGAAGAACCGCCACGGUGCUAAUCAGCCGUGGUCUGACGGUACCUCCAAAGGAAGCACCGGCUAACUCCGUGCCAGCCGCCGC